UGAGAAGUGAUGAAGAUAAAUGUAUUAAUUAUUUUCUUUUGUACAUGUAUGUUCGAUUUUCUCAUGGAACGUUUAGGAGUUCAUAUAAAUUGCCAAGAUACAAUAAUGAGAGCCUGUGUUCCUCCAAAGAAAAUGUUAGCGGUAACAAUAAAGUAAGUAGAAAAUAUUAAUAAAUUAUUUGAGGAAGUUUAUUUAAAUACUCAAAAAAUGAAAGGAAAACAUUUAAUUCACAUGUAAAAUAAAGGAAAAAAAAUCAUUUAAUAAACCAUUUUAAAGCAUGUGAAAAGUAUGGCUUGAACAGCUAGAUGACUAGGCAUGUAGACAGUGAGAUUGUUCAUUGAAAUAAGGAGAGAGUAUCAUUGAGCUCCUACAAGAAAUUGGUGUUGAAGUUCGGGAGGCUGAUGAAUUAUAAAAUGUCUGUUCAAUGAUAGGGCAGCUUUUCCUUCGGUUGUUAAUGUAUUUUAUUAACAUUAGGACACUCAUGCGAAAUUCCAGUUUGUCCUCUUCGCACAUUCUUCUUACAGCUAGCGUGACGGAGAUGAAAAAUGCUUCAUUCUCAUCAGGGGCUUUAUUCUCGAGUUAUUCGUGUUACAACGCAUUCCUGUUGGCAGUAUCAUGUGACACCAACUCUCAUAUUUAGACAGAAUUGGUAUUCUGGAGUUUCAACUCACAUGCGUUUCGUUCUCGAAAUUCGGG
rnacentral:lncRNA from 1 species